rnacentral:lncRNA from 1 species
CCUAAUUUAGGGGAGACUGACUCAUCGUUUUUAAACCCUCAGAGUUUUUGGUAUGACUGGUGUUUAUUGAGGCACUGAUGUUUUGCUGCUUCUUGUAGGGAAGACAGAGAGCGAUGGCCUGACUUAAGGAGCUCAGCAUCUCAACCCCAUCCAGGUGUUCCUGCUGCUGUCAUCAGCUUGUUGUCUGAGGCCCCAGAGUGGGGCUUUUGGGGGAGUGGUGCAGGCACCAGAAUACUUACGAGGAGCGGAGACUGUAAACUAAGCUCAUUUUGAACUGACCCUGCUCCAGUCCUUGGGCAGACUUCAGAGGGCAGUUGCUUGUUUUCUGAAGAUACCUGAAAACAGAUAUUUCACUGGAUACAGCUCCUCAUCUCUUCCUCUGCUUGCCCUGAGACUUUUGCACUCGCUGCCUCUUUGCACAUCUGUUUUUUGGCUGCUGCCAUCUCUUUCUUGCACCUGCUGCACCUAGUGAGCUGAAAGAGCCCUGGCAUUAAAGGGUCAGCUUCCUUGCCAGGUUCCUGAACUAGAAUCUGACAAGAAGGGCCACGGAUACUGGAAAUG